GAAAAGGUUAGUUUAAUAAAAACACUAAUUUGUCAAAUUAGAAAUAUAAUUAUUAUCUUUUUUU
rnacentral:tRNA from 1 species